CAGAGGGUAGUUUAAUUUAGAAUUCUAGCUUUGGGAGCUAGUGGUGGGAGUUAAAAUCUCUUCUCUCUGA
rnacentral:tRNA from 1 species